rnacentral:rRNA from 1 species
CUGGCUCAGGAUAAACGCUGGCGGCGCACAUAAGACAUGCAAGUCGAACGGACUUAAUCCAUCUUUAGAUUGGAAGCGGUAGUGGCGGACUGGUGAGUAACGCGUAAGUAACCUGCCUAUCAGAGGGGAAUAACAGUGAGAAAUCAUUGCUAAUACCGCAUAUGCUCACGGUACUGCAUGGUACAGUGAGGAAAGGAGUAAUCCGCUGAUAGAUGGACUUGCGUCUGAUUAGCUAGUUGGUAAGGUAAAGGCCUACCAAGGCAACGAUCAGUAGCCGGACUGAGAGGUUGAACGGCCACAUUGGGACUGAGAUACGGCCCAGACUCCUACGGGAGGCAGCAGUCGGGAAUAUUGCGCAAUGGAGGAAACUCUGACGCAGUGACGCCGCGUAUAGGAAGAAGGUUUUCGGAUUGUAAACUAUUGUCGUUAGGGAAGAGCAAAGACAGUACCUAAGGAGGAAGCCCCGGCUAACUAUGUGCCAGCCGCUGC